rnacentral:rRNA from 1 species
GGUUAAGCGACUAAGCGUACACGGUGGAUGCCCUGGCAGUCAGAGGCGAUGAAGGACGUGCUAAUCUGCGAUAAGCGUCGGUAAGGUGAUAUGAACCGUUAUAACCGGCGAUUUCCGAAUGGGGAAACCCAGUGUGAUUCGUCACACUAUCAUUAACUGAAUCCAUAGGUUAAUGAGGCGAACCGGGGAACUGAAACAUCUAAGUACCCCGAGGAAAAGAAAUCAACCGAGAUUCCCCCAGUAGCGGCGAGCGAACGGGGAGCAGCCCAGAGCCUGAAUCAGUGUGUGUGUUAGUGGAAGCGUCUGGAAAGGCGUGCGAUACAGGGUGACAGCCCCGUACACAAAAAUGCACAUACUGUGAGCUCGAUGAGUAGGGCGGGACACGUGGUAUCCUGUCUGAAUAUGGGGGACCAUCCUCCAAGGCUAAAUACUCCUGACUGACCGAUAGUGAACCAGUACCGUGAGGGAAAGGCGAAAAGAACCCCGGCGAGGGGAGUGAAAAAGAACCUGAAACCGUGUACGUACAAGCAGUGGGAGCACGCUUAGGCGUGUGACUGCGUACCUUUUGUAUAAUGGGUCAGCGACUUAUAUUCUGUAGCAAGGUUAACCGAAUAGGGGAGCCGAAGGGAAACCGAGUCUUAACUGGGCGUUAAGUUGCAGGGUAUAGACCCGAAACCCGGUGAUCUAGCCAUGGGCAGGUUGAAGGUUGGGUAACACUAACUGGAGGACCGAACCGACUAAUGUUGAAAAAUUAGCGGAUGACUUGUGGCUGGGGGUGAAAGGCCAAUCAAACCGGGAGAUAGCUGGUUCUCCCCGAAAGCUAUUUAGGUAGCGCCUCGUGAAUUCAUCUCCGGGGUAGAGCACUGUUUCGGCAAGGGGGUCAUCCCGACUUACCAACCCGAUGCAAACUGCGAAUACCGGAGAAUGUUAUCACGGGAGACACACGGCGGGUGCUAACGUCCGUCGUGAAGAGGGAAACAACCCAGACCGCCAGCUAAGGUCCCAAAGUCAUGGUUAAGUGGGAAACGAUGUGGGAAGGCCCAGACAGCCAGGAUGUUGGCUUAGAAGCAGCCAUCAUUUAAAGAAAGCGUAAUAGCUCACUGGUCGAGUCGGCCUGCGCGGAAGAUGUAACGGGGCUAAACCAUGCACCGAAGCUGCGGCAGCGACGCUUAUGCGUUGUUGGGUAGGGGAGCGUUCUGUAAGCCUGUGAAGGUGUGCUGUGAGGUAUGCUGGAGGUAUCAGAAGUGCGAAUGCUGACAUAAGUAACGAUAAAGCGGGUGAAAAGCCCGCUCGCCGGAAGACCAAGGGUUCCUGUCCAACGUUAAUCGGGGCAGGGUGAGUCGACCCCUAAGGCGAGGCCGAAAGGCGUAGUCGAUGGGAAACAGGUUAAUAUUCCUGUACUUGGUGUUACUGCGAAGGGGGGACGGAGAAGGCUAUGUUGGCCGGGCGACGGUUGUCCCGGUUUAAGCGUGUAGGCUGGUUUUCCAGGCAAAUCCGGAAAAUCAAGGCCGAGGCGUGAUGACGAGGCACUACGGUGCUGAAGCAACAAAUGCCCUGCUUCCAGGAAAAGCCUCUAAGCAUCAGGUAACAUCAAAUCGUACCCCAAACCGACACAGGUGGUCAGGUAGAGAAUACCAAGGCGCUUGAGAGAACUCGGGUGAAGGAACUAGGCAAAAUGGUGCCGUAACUUCGGGAGAAGGCACGCUGAUACGUAGGUGAAGCGACUUGCUCGUGGAGCUGAAAUCAGUCGAAGAUACCAGCUGGCUGCAACUGUUUAUUAAAAACACAGCACUGUGCAAACACGAAAGUGGACGUAUACGGUGUGACGCCUGCCCGGUGCCGGAAGGUUAAUUGAUGGGGUUAGCGCAAGCGAAGCUCUUGAUCGAAGCCCCGGUAAACGGCGGCCGUAACUAUAACGGUCCUAAGGUAGCGAAAUUCCUUGUCGGGUAAGUUCCGACCUGCACGAAUGGCGUAAUGAUGGCCAGGCUGUCUCCACCCGAGACUCAGUGAAAUUGAACUCGCUGUGAAGAUGCAGUGUACCCGCGGCAAGACGGAAAGACCCCGUGAACCUUUACUAUAGCUUGACACUGAACAUUGAGCCUUGAUGUGUAGGAUAGGUGGGAGGCUUUGAAGUGUGGACGCCAGUCUGCAUGGAGCCGACCUUGAAAUACCACCCUUUAAUGUUUGAUGUUCUAACGUGGACCCGUGAUCCGGGUUGCGGACAGUGUCUGGUGGGUAGUUUGACUGGGGCGGUCUCCUCCUAAAGAGUAACGGAGGAGCACGAAGGUUGGCUAAUCCUGGUCGGACAUCAGGAGGUUAGUGCAAUGGCAUAAGCCAGCUUGACUGCGAGCGUGACGGCGCGAGCAGGUGCGAAAGCAGGUCAUAGUGAUCCGGUGGUUCUGAAUGGAAGGGCCAUCGCUCAACGGAUAAAAGGUACUCCGGGGAUAACAGGCUGAUACCGCCCAAGAGUUCAUAUCGACGGCGGUGUUUGGCACCUCGAUGUCGGCUCAUCACAUCCUGGGGCUGAAGUAGGUCCCAAGGGUAUGGCUGUUCGCCAUUUAAAGUGGUACGCGAGCUGGGUUUAGAACGUCGUGAGACAGUUCGGUCCCUAUCUGCCGUGGGCGCUGGAGAACUGAGGGGGGCUGCUCCUAGUACGAGAGGACCGGAGUGGACGCAUCACUGGUGUUCGGGUUGUCAUGCCAAUGGCACUGCCCGGUAGCUAAAUGCGGAAGAGAUAAGUGCUGAAAGCAUCUAAGCACGAAACUUGCCCCGAGAUGAGUUCUCCCUGACCCUUUAAGGGUCCUGAAGGAACGUUGAAGACGACGACGUUGAUAGGCCGGGUGUGUAAGCGCAGCGAUGCGUUGAGCUAACCGGUACUAAUGAACCGUGAGGCUUAACCUU